rnacentral:rRNA from 1 species
UACGUAGGCAGCAAGCGUUGUUCGGAGUUACUGGGCGUAAAGAGUGCGUAGGCGGCCAUACAGGUCCGUUGUGAAAACUGGAGGCUUAACCUCCAGACGUCGAUGGAAACCGUAUGGCUAGAGUCCGGAAGAGGAGAGUGGAAUUCCUGGUGUAGCGGUGAAAUGCGCAGAUAUCAGGAAGAACACCCGUGGCGAAGGCGGCUCUCUGGGACGGUACUGACGCUGAGGUGCGAAAGCGUGGGGAGCAAACAGG